rnacentral:lncRNA from 1 species
AUCUUUUAUUCUACUAUAAUAAUUUAAAAAAAAAUUGAAACAUACAUGUAUGCCCCGAUACGAAAUUCCAACACAGUUCAUCUUGUUAUCAUCAUCCAACCACUUUUCACAAGAUGCUCUCUGAUCAGUGGUCGGACGAGUGGGUGCAAGGGGAAGGUUCUAGUCGAGAAUAUAGGUCAACUUCUCAAAACUCAAGACAAUCUUUAAGUUUCAAAACCAAUCCUUAAAAUUGGAUCCGAUCAAUCGGUUGGUCUCUAGGAUGUGGGCAAGGAGAUUGGAAGCAGACAUGACUCCUGCAGAAAGUCAAAGUUUCUAGUUAGUUGUAAUUGACUUAACUAAUUUAUUUUAAAAAUUUUAUUUUUAAAAUAAAUUAGAGCUCUUACUAUUUUUCUAGUUCCCCAC